GUAGUCUGCAACUCGACUACAUGAAGCUGGAAUCGCUAGUAAUCGCGAAUCAGAAUGUCGCGGUGAAUACGUUCCCGGGUCUUGUACACACCGCCCGUCACACCAUGGGAGCCGGAAACGCCCGAAGUCAGUGGCCCAACCGGAAGGAGGGAGCUGCCGAAGGCAGGGCUGGUAACUGGGGUGAAGUCGUAACAAGGUACC
rnacentral:rRNA from 1 species